AAACUUUCACAACGGAUCUCUUGGUUCUGGCAUCGAUGAAGAACGCAGCGAAAUGCGAUAAGUAGUGUGAAUUGCAGAAUUCAGUGAAUCAUCGAAUCUUUGAACGCACAUUGCGCCCCUUGGUAUCCCGAGGGGCAUGCCUGUUCGAGCGUCAUUU
rnacentral:rRNA from 1 species